rnacentral:rRNA from 1 species
CGCGUAGGCGGCCUGGUAAGUCAGUUGUGAAAGCCCUCGGCUCAACCGAGGAAAUGCAGCUGAAACUGCCGGGCUUGAGUCCCGGAAAGGAUAGCGGAAUUCCCAGUGUAGCGGUGAAAUGCGUAGAUAUUGGGAGGAACAUCGGUGGCGAAGGCGGCUAUCUGGACGGGUACUGACGCUGAGGCGCGAAAGCGUGGGGAGCAAACAGGAUUAGAUACCCUGGUAGUCC